CGUGCACAGGUGUCCAGUCAGGUUCAGACUGAUGCUGGUAACAAGAGGAGAACAUGCUAAUUGAUGCUGUGUUGCUGCCAGUCCACGGAUGUACACGAAUGGCUCACCUGGAGGAGGAGGGCGGUCAACGACAUUACUCAAGUAUUGACAACAAAUGUGCUCUACGAUGACAUUUCCAGCAUGUCCAACUCAUCAGCAUCAGGGGAGAUUCGGUGGAGGUGGUGCACCAUCCAGGACCAGUCAUGGGCCACCAAAACCUCUGCAAAAUCUACACUUCUUGUGAACCCUGUAGAAGACACUACAACCACAAAACUGCUAAUAAACCAUCACAUACUGCGUCACA